UAAAUUUUAUAUUAAUAUUAUUUUAUAAAAUAUUAAUAUUAAAAAAAUAAUUUUUUGUUUUAGUAGCAAAUUGAAUUAAAUAUAUGAUUUAUAGUAAAUAGUACUGUGAAGGAAUUAUUAAAAUUUUUAUAAAAGUAGCUAAUUUGGGCUUACCUUUUGUAUCAGGGUUUAUUAAUUUUUUUAAUUUAAAAUUUAUUUUCCCGAAAUUUUAAGAUAUAUAAUAAAAUUACAUUUAAUGUUUUAAGAUUAUUAUGAAUUUUAUUAUAGUGAAUAUAUUUUAUUCAAUUAAAAAUAUCUGGUUUUUUUAUAAAUAAAUUUAAUUUAUGAUUAUUUUAAGUGAAAUAUUAUAUUUUGUUAUAAUCUUCAAUUUUCUAGGAUAAGCUAGAUUAUUUUUCUAAAAAUUAAAUUUAUAUUGAAUUUAAGGUAGGUUUAAUAAUAUCCAUCAUUUAUUUUUUUAUAAUUAUUUUUUAUAUAAAAUUUUAUAUAAUUUUGUUUUAGAUUUUUAUAAAAAUUCAUAUUUUAAUAUAAAAAAUAUUGUAAUUAUGAUAAAAUUAGUAUUUUAUAUAAAUAAAAUAUAGUAAUUCGGCAAAUGUUAUUUUCGCCUGUUUAACAAAAACAUGGUCUUUUGUUUAUAUAAAAGAUCUAACCUGCCCUAUGAUUUAUUUUAAAUGGCUGCAGUAUUUUGACUGUACAAAGGUAGCAUAAUCAUUUGUCUUUUAAUUGAAGGCUGGUAUGAAUGGUUGGAUGAAAAAUAUACUUUCUUUAUUUUAUAAAAAUAAAUUAACUUUUUAGUCAAAAGGCUAAGAUUUUAUUGUAGGACGAGAAGACCCUAUAGAACUUUAUUUUCUUUUUAUAUAACUUUUUUAGUUUUUAAUAAGUUUAUAUAUUUAUGUUAAUUAUGUUGGGGUGACAGAAAAAAUAAUAUAACUUUUUCUAUUUUUUUCAUUUAUUUAUGUGUUUUUGAUCCUAUAUUAUGGAUAAUAAGAUUAAGUUACCUUAGGGAUAACAGCGUUAUUUUCUUAAAGAGUUCUUAUCGAUAAGAAAGUUUGCGACCUCGAUGUUGGAUUAAAAUAAGUGAUAGGAGCAGAAUAUUAUUUACUAGGUCUGUUCGACCUUUAAAUUUUUACAUGAUCUGAGUUCAGACCGGCGUGAGCCAGGUCGGUUUCUAUCCUUAAUUUAUUAUAAAAUCUUAGUACGAAAGGACCAGAUUUUUGGAAUAAUUUUUUAUUAUGAUUAUAUUAAUGUUUU
rnacentral:rRNA from 1 species